AGUGAACGCUGGCGGCAGGCCUAACACAUGCAAGUCGAGCGGCAGCGCGGGGCAACCUGGCGGCGAGCGGCGGACGGGUGAGGAAUACAUCGGAAUCUACCCUGUCGUGGGGGAUAACGGAGGGAAACUUACGCUAAUACCGCAUACGAACUGAGGUUGAAAGCGGCGGACCGCAAGGCGUCGCGCGAUUGGAUGAGUCGAUGUCCGAUUAGCUAGUUGGCGGGGUAAAGGCCCACCAAGGCGACGAUCGGUAGCUGGGCUGAGAGGACGACCAGCCACACUGGAACUGAGACUCGGUCCAGACUCCUACGGGAGGCAGCAGUGGGGAAUAUUGGUCAAUGGGCGCAAGCCUGAUCCAGCCAUGCCGCGUGGGUGAAGAAGGCCUUCGGGUUGUAAAGCCCUUUUGUCCGGAAAGAAAAGCAUUCGGUUAAUACCCGGGUGUUCUGACGGUACCGGAAGAAUAAGCACCGGCUAACUUCGUGCCAGCCGCCGCAGUAAGAC
rnacentral:rRNA from 1 species